ACAACCCCCUUGUGUGUGUGUGUGUCUCAGGUUCAUUCUUCAGUCGAAGGAGGAAAUCAAUAAUCAGCUGACAGACAAACAGAAAACAGCUGAUGAGAAAAUUAAAGAACUUGAGCAGAAGAAGGUGUACCUUGAACGCAGCGUGAAAGAAGCAGAAGACAACAUCAGAGAGAUGCUGCUGUCCAGGAGAGCUCAGUGAUCGGUCAUCUGUAAUCAAUAACUCAGUGAUACACGCACCGAUCAUCUAUAAUCAAUGUAUGUGUUUAGUGUUUGUUCAUAUUAAAAUGUUGAACCUUCA